GAGACAAGUAGCUUAAUACAGCCCCAAAGCAUAACACUGAAAGCGUUAAGAUGAAACCGAUCCGGCCUCA
rnacentral:tRNA from 1 species